rnacentral:rRNA from 1 species
UACGUAGGGUGCAAGCGUUGUUCGGAAUCAUUGGGCGUAAAGCGCGUGUAGGCGGUUAGGUAAGUCGGUUGUGAAAUCCCUGAGCUCAACUUAGGAAGUGCAUCCGAAACUGCUUAGCUAGAGGACGGUAGAGGAAGGUGGAAUUCCUAGUGUAGAGGUGAAAUUCGUAGAUAUUAGGAGGAAUACCGGUGGCGAAGGCGGCCUUCUGGGCCGAUUCUGACGCUGAGACGCGAAAGCGUGGGGAGCAAACAGG